UCAGGGGUCAGGGGUCAGGGGGGAGGGGGAGAACUCAGCAGCAGACUUGGUUCAUGCCUUAGUUUAUAUUUCUCACAUGAUAUCCUUAUGAAACAUACAUCAUUCUGAAAUACAAUAAAACUAGUGAAAUCAAGACAUGGACCCACAUCAGAAUAAUGUUAGUCAUUCUGUAUAGAAGAGAAACAUGCUGAUUCUGCUCUGAGGGAUUCUAGAACAUGCUGAUUCUGCUCUGAGGGAUUCUAGAACAACAUGAUGAUUCUGCUCUGAGGGAUUCUAGAACAACAUGAUGAUUCUGCUCUGAGGGAUUCUAGAACAACAGGAUGAUUCUGCUCUGAGGGAUUCUAGAACAACAUGAUGAUUCUGCUCUGAAGGAUUCUAGAACAACAUGAUGAUUCUGCUCUGAGGGAUUCUAGAACAACAUGAUGAUUCUGCUCUGAGGGAUUCUAGAACAACAUGAUGAUUCUGCUCUGAGGGAUUCUAGAACAACAUGAUGAUUCUGCUCUGAGGGAUUCUAGAACAACAUGAUGAUUCUGCUCUGAGGGAUUCUAGAACAACAUGAUGAUUCUGCUCUGAGGGGAUUCUAGAACAACAUGAUGAUUCUGCUCUGAGGGAUUCUAGAACAACAUGAUGAUUCUGCUCUGAGGGAUUCUAGAACAACAUGAUGAUUCUGCUCUGAGGGAUUCUAGAACAACAUGCUGAUUCUGCUCUGAGGGAUUCUAGAACAACAUGAUGAUUCUGCUCUGAGGGAUUCUAGAACAACAUGAUGAUUCUGCUCUGAGGGAUUCUAGAACAACAUGAUGAUUCUGCUCUGAGGGAUUCUAGAACAACAUGCUGAUUCUGCUCUGAGGGAUUCUAGAACAACAGGGAAUUCUGUUUCCUUCCUGUUGAUGUACUGUCAGAUGGAAACACUCUAACCCAACAUGUAGAUUCUACUCUGUGAAUGACGAGGUUUGUGGCACAGAUCAUUAUCAUGAAAUAACAGACAACAGUUCACAGUAAACACAGACUAUCAUUGUGCACAACCCUAUACAACCCUAUUACAUAGCAUCAGCAAGGUACAUAAAACACUGACACCAUCCCUUUAAGGCCGAUAGAUAGGUCAUCCCUUUAAGACCUACACACAGUUCACCCCGUAAAAGACAGACAAUAAAGGUCAACCCUGUAAGACCGACAGACAGGUCAUCCCUUUAAGACCGACAGACAGGUCAUCCCUUUAAGACUGACGGGCAGGUCAUCCCUUUAAGACCGACAGGCAGGUCAUCCCUUUAAGACCGACAGACAGGUCAUCCCUUUAAGACCGACAGACAGGUCAUCCCUUUAAGACCGACAGGCAGGUCAUCCCUUUAAGACCGACAGACAGGUCAUCCCUUUAAGACCGACAGACAGGUCAUCCCUUUAAGACCGACAGGCAGGUCAUCCCUUUAAGACCGACAGGCAGGUCAUCCCUUUAAGACCGACAGACAGGUCAUCCCUUUAAGACCGACAGACAGGUCAUCCCUUUAAGACCGACAGACAGGUCAUCCCUUUAAGACCGACAGACAGGUCAUCCCUUUAAGACCUCAAAUAUAUUUGAAAAACGAGUUAAAAAAUGAUUAUUUACAAAAAUACUUUGCUGUGUAAAC
rnacentral:lncRNA from 1 species